rnacentral:rRNA from 1 species
CCCUUAGAUGUCCUGGGCCGCACGCGUGCUACACUGAUGCAUUCAACGAGUUUUACCUUGGCCGAGAGGCCUGGGCAAUCUUUUAAACCUGCAUCGUGAUAGGGAUAGAUUAUUGCAAUUUUUAAUCUUGAACGAGGAAUUCCUAGUAAACGCAAAUCAUCAAUUUGCAUUGAUUACGUCCCUGCCCUUUGUACACACCGCCCGUCGCACCUACCGAUUGAAUGGUCCGGUGAAGCCUCGGGAUUGUGGCCAGUUCACUUUAUUGGGAGUUGGCUGUGAGAACUUGUCUAAACCUUAUCAUUUAGAGGAAGGUGAAGUCGUAACA